rnacentral:rRNA from 1 species
AUUGAACGCUGGCGGCAGGCCUAACACAUGCAAGUCGAGCGGGGUUUUCGGACCUAGCGGCGGACGGGUGAGUAAUGCGUAGGAAGCUACCCGAUAGAGGGGGAUACCAGUUGGAAACGACUGUUAAUACCGCAUAAUGUCUACGGACCAAAGUGUGGGACCUUCGGGCCACAUGCUAUCGGAUGCGCCUACGUGGGAUUAGCUAGAGGGUGAGGUAAUGGCUCACCAAGGCGACGAGCCCUAGCUGGUUUGAGCGGAUGAUCAGCCACACUGGAACUGAGACACGGUCCCGACUCCUACGGGAGGAAGCAGUGGGAAAUAUUGGACAAUGGGCGCAAGCCUGAUCCAGCCAUGCCGCGAGGGUGAAGAAGGCCUUCGGGUGGUAAAGCACUUUCAGUAGGGAGGAAGCGUUGUGUGUUAAUAGUACACAGCGUUGACGUUACCUACAGAAGAAGCACCGACUAACUCUGUGCCAGCCGCCGCCGUAAGAC